CCAGUAACGGCGAGUGAAGCGGCAAGAGCUCAAAUUUGAAAUCUGGCCCCUCCGGGGUCCGAGUUGUAAUUUGCAGAGGAUGCUUCGGGCGCGGUCCCCGUCUAAGUACCCUGGAACGGGUCGUCAUAGAGGGUGAGAAUCCCGUCUGGGACGGGUGGCCGUGUCCGUGUGAAGCUCCUUCGACGAGUCGAGUUGUUUGGGAAUGCAGCUCUAAAUGGGUGGUAAAUUUCAUCUAAAGCUAAAUAUUGGCCGGAGACCGAUAGCGCACAAGUAGAGUGAUCGAAAGAUGAAAAGCACUUUGAAAAGAGAGUUAAACAGCACGUGAAAUUGUUGAAAGGGAAGCGCUUGCGACCAGACUCGCCCGCGGGGGUUCAGCCGGUACUCGUACCGGUGUACUCCCCCGGGGGCGGGCCAGCGUCGGUUUGGGCGGUCGGUCAAAGGCCUCCGGAAUGUGUCGCCCCCCGGGGCGUCUUAUAGCCGGAGGUGCAAUGCGGCCAGCCUGGACCGAGGAACGC
rnacentral:rRNA from 1 species